GAGUUUGAUCAUGGCUCAGGAUGAACGCUAGCGGGAGGCUUAACACAUGCAAGUCGAGGGGUAUAAGUAGCAAUAUAUAGAGACCGGCGCACGGGUGAGUAACGCGUAUGCAACCUGCCCUUUACAGGGGGAUAGCCCGUAGAAAUGCGGAUUAAUACCCCAUAGUAAUAUUGGAUCGCAUGGUUUGAUAGUUAAAGUUUCGGCGGUAAAGGAUGGGCAUGCGUGACAUUAGCUAGUUGGAGAGGUAACGGCUCACCAAGGCUACGAUGUCUAGGGGUUCUGAGAGGAAGAUCCCCCACACUGGUACUGAGACACGGACCAGACUCCUACGGGAGGCAGCAGUGAGGAAUAUUGGUCAAUGGGCGGGAGCCUGAACCAGCCAUCCCGCGUGCAGGAAGAAUGCCCUAUGGGUUGUAAACUGCUUUUUCGCAUGAAGAACACUCCGGACGUGUCUGGAGCUGACGGUAAUGCGUGAAUAAGCACCGGCUAACUCCGUGCCAGCAGCCGCGGUAAUACGGAGGGUGCAAGCGUUAUCCGGAUUUAUUGGGUUUAAAGGGUGCGUAGGCGGUGAUUUAAGUCAGUGGUGAAAUCCUGCAGCUCAACUGUAGAACAGCCAUUGAAACUGA
rnacentral:rRNA from 1 species